UCUAUUUAAUUUAAAACGAAUGUAAUUGAUGUAACGCAUCUAAUACUAAGUUUCAACAACGGAUCUCUUGGCUCUCGCAUCGAUGAAGAACGCAGCGAAAUGCGAUAAGUAAUGUGAAUUGCAGAAUUCAGUGAAUCAUCGAAUCUUUGAACG
rnacentral:rRNA from 1 species